rnacentral:lncRNA from 1 species
AGUUACUGCCACCCUCUCCCAGGUCUAGAGAGGGGUACCCACGGUGGAGGGAGGUGGGAGGCCGAGACGGCCCCGGGGGUCGGCGGAGACCCAGCGGGAGCAGGGGGAAAUCGGAAGAGCUGGGGGCAUGGAGCGGGCGAGUUUGGAGCGGAAUGAGCCGGGAGCCCUACGUUGUGGAAGGAAGACAACAGUAUAGGACCAUCAGCAGGACCGGACAGAGAGGGGCACACCAGGCUGGCCUUGAACUCAGAAAUCCGCCUGCCUCUGACUCCCGAGUGCUGAGAUUAAAGGUGUGCACCACCACACCCGACAAGGAAGCCUGUUUUAAGAAGUGAUUCCAUGGAGGAGUUCUGCGGCGGCUCAGGGCUUGACUAAACAGUGGACCUCAGACAAGAGAGGCUAAACCAGGCUGCAGGUGACAGGAAGAAUUGAAUAAACUGAAAGCAAAGGGCAGCCUUCUAAUUACGCUUCGUGGCUAUGUGGACAACCUGGAGAAGUCUGGAAACCUUUCCUCCUCCAUUUUACUACUUGAGGGAGCAGUGGGUGGGAUACUAGGCAAGUAGCUGCAAUGGCUGGUGCUUUAUGGUUCCCUGGCAUCCCCUGAAUCUGUUAACAUCCCAACCUUCUUGACAGCCAGCCCCACCCCAUCACAUUCUUACUCCUUCCCUUUCCAAGAAAGAAGCCAGAAGCCCGAAGCCAGCAGUAGAGCUCUGACUGGCUUGUAUGCCUAGAAAGGAAGGGCUCUUCUUUCGCCUCACGGGCACAAAUGGGACCCACGAGCGCCGAUUUCAGACUAUUCUGAUCCCUUCAAAAAGAAAGUUAGGAGUCCAGGCUACUGUGAGUGAAUUUGAUUCUAAUUGUUUCAGAGAAUAUGGAAUAAAAUAUCUCAUUUGCA